rnacentral:rRNA from 1 species
GACGAACGCUGGCGGCGUGCUUAACACAUGCAAGUCGAACGAUGAAGCCUUAGCUUGCUUUGGUGGAUUAGUGGCGAACGGGUGAGUAACACGUGAGCAACGUGCCCAGGACUCUGGAAUAACCGCGGGAAACCGUGGCUAAUACCGGAUAGGUGCCGAGGCCGCAUGGUCUUCGGUUGGAAAGUUUUUGCGGUUCUGGAUCGGCUCACGGCCUAUCAGCUUGUUGGUGGGGUAAUGGCCUACCAAGGCGACGACGGGUAGCCGGCCUGAGAGGGUGACCGGCCACACUGGGACUGAGACACGGCCCAGACUCCUACGGGAGGCAGCAGUGGGGAAGAUUGCACAAUGGGCGCAAGCCUGAUGCAGCAACGCCGCGUGGGGGAUGACGGCCUUCGGGUUGUAAACCUCUUUUAGUAGGGAAGAAGCGCAAGUGACGGUACCUGCAGAAAAAGCACCGGCUAACUACGUG